UGCGGAGGGGGUUAGCGUGUUCGGAAUUACUGGGCGUAAAGCGCACGUAGGCGGAUUGACAAGUUGGGGGUGAAAUCCCGGGGCUCAACCCCGGAACUGCCUCCAAAACUGUCAGUCUUGAGUUCGAGAGAGGUGAGUGGAAUUCCGAGUGUAGGGGUGAAAUUCGUAGAUAUUCGGAGGAACACCAGUGGCGAAGGCGGCUCACUGGCUCGAUACUGACGCUGAGGUGCGAAAGCGUGGGGAGCAAACAGG
rnacentral:rRNA from 1 species